UGGCGAACGGGUGAGUAACGCGUGAGGAACCUGCCUCAAAGAGGGGGACAACAGUUGGAAACGACUGCUAAUACCGCAUAAGCCCACGGGUCGGCAUCGACCUGAGGGAAAAGGAGCAAUCCACUUUGAGAUGGCCUCGCGUCCGAUUAGCUAGUUGGUGAGGUAACGGCCCACCAAGGCGACGAUCGGUAGCCGGACUGAGAGGUUGACCGGCCACAUUGGGACUGAGACACGGCCCAG
rnacentral:rRNA from 1 species